AAGUUGUUGAUCCAUUGGUCAAUACAAUUAGCACCUCAAUUUCAAGAUUAGCUGAAGAUCACUCAAAUCCAAAAUGCCCAUCAUCUCUCCAUAUCUUUGCACAGGUAAAUAGAAUACCAAUUGUAUUUGAUUUCCCUCCACGGAUCUCCAAAUUCCCUCCCAUCGAAUCCCAAAAAGUUGCAGUGAUUUCUUUCUUUCAUCGUUUAAAGAAUUGAUCUUGUUUGUUUCUUGGGCUCACAGCCUUCUGCGAAAAUAUGUCACAUAUCCUCAAGUAACCUUCGAUAACGUUUCUAGAAGAUUUAUGAAUCUUCUAUCGUCAUAUCACCAAGGCCUCGCCCUCUUCAUGGACCUUCACCCUUACGAUGCCUGAGCUCCGUAGCCGAGAACGCAGAAACCGCCCAUCCAACAACCCUGACCCGAGCCCGAUUACCCAUCAACCAGGACUCCACAACCAUAAGAACCUUCCUCCAGCUCUACGUACUCGCCAGAGAAGGGAAACCGGACGGAAUCGGAGGAAUAAUAAGAACGCGAUCGGCGCUGGUGAGCGGAAUAUUGUGAAGAGCGAAGACGAAGAAAGAGGAGGAGAGGAAGAGAUUAGGGUUUCCAGAGAGGGAACCGGGGAAAGAGCCAUGGAUGAGUACGAUAGCGGCGGCGAUAAGGGGCCCGGAGCCGAGGAUGAGGGCAGCGCUGCGCCUCUUCCUGAAAAGGUUCAAGUUGGUGGUUCCCCGAUGUACAGAGUAGACAGAAAACUGGGGAAAGGGGGCUUUGGACAAGUUUACGUAGGUCGACGCAUUGGGCCUCCUAGUGCAAACGAGAGAACUGUCCCUAGAGCUGUGGAGGUAGCUUUAAAAUUUGAGCACAGGAGUAGUAAAGGAUGCAAUUAUGGACCACCAUAUGAGUGGCAAGUUUACAAUGCACUUGGUGGCAGUCAUGGUGUUCCACGAGUUCAUUAUAAGGGCCGGCAUGGUGACUACUAUAUCAUGGUCAUGGAUAUGCUUGGGCCAAGUUUGUGGGAUGUUUGGAAUAACAAGUCACACACGAUGUCUAUUGACAUGGUUGCAUGUAUUGCCAUUGAGGCUAUAUCCAUAUUAGAGAAGAUACACUCUAGGGGAUAUGUGCACGGGGAUGUGAAACCUGAGAAUUUCUUGCUUGGUACUCCUGGGACUCCUGAAGAAAAAAAGCUAUAUCUUGUGGACCUUGGAUUAGCCACCCGGUGGCGAGACAGUACAACUGGCUUUCAUGUUGAGUAUGAUCAACGUCCAGAUGUCUUCAGGGGAACUGUCCGGUAUGCCAGCGUGCAUGCUCAUCUUGGUAGAACUGGCAGCAGGAGAGAUGACUUGGAAUCUCUUGCCUACACUCUUGUUUUUCUUCUCCGUGGUCGCUUACCAUGGCAAGGAUAUCAGGGAGAAAAUAAAGGAUUCCUUGUAUGCAAGAAGAAAAUGGCCACUUCCCCAGAAGCUCUCUGUUGCUUUUGCCCUCAUCCUUUUCGACAGUUUGUUGAGCAUAUAGUAAAUCUGAAGUUUGAUGAAGAACCUAACUAUGCAAAGUAUAUCUCCCUCUUUGACGGGAUUGUUGGCCCAAAUCCAGAUAUCAGGCCAAUAAACACUGAUGGUGCUCAGAAGCUUAUAUGUCAGGUUGGACAUAAGAGAGGACGAUUGACCAUGGAGGAGGAGGAGGAUGAACAACCUAAAAAGAAGAUUCGAAUGGGGAUGCCUGCAACCCAAUGGAUUAGUGUCUACAAUGCUCGUCGGCCUAUGAAGCAAAGAUAUCACUAUAACGUGGCAGAUGUAAGGCUCUCCCAGCACAUUGAGAAAGGAAAUGAAGAUGGAUUAUUUAUUAGUGGCGUGGCUUCAUGUACAAACCUCUGGGCCUUAAUCAUGGAUGCUGGCACUGGCUUUACAGCACAAGUUCAUGAACUCUCACCCUACUUUCUUCACAAGGAAUGGAUUAUGGAACACUGGGAGAAGAAUUACUACAUCAGUGCAAUAGCAGGGGCAAACAAUGGGAGUUCAUUAGUUGUAAUGUCUAAGGGGACACAGUACUUACAGCAGUCUUAUAAAGUCAGCGAAUCAUUUCCAUUCAAGUGGAUCAACAAAAAAUGGAGGGAGGGGUUUUACGUUACUGCCAUGGGCACUGCUGGGAGUAGAUGGGCAAUUGUUAUGUCUCGCGGGGCAGGAUUUUCUGACCAGGUUGUGGAACUAGAUUUUCUCUAUCCUAGUGAAGGUGUUCAUCGAAGGUGGGACAGUGGUUACCGCAUUACAUCAACUGCAGCGACUUGGGACCAGGCUGCUUUAGUUCUAAGUGUUCCUAGAAGAAAACCGGCUGAUGAAACUCAAGAGACUCUCCGAACUUCUGCUUUUCCUAGUACACACGUCAAGGAGAAAUGGGCAAAGAAUCUUUAUAUUGCAUCUAUUUGCUAUGGUCGAACUGUUUCAUGAACUACCAAAGAUCGUUGGGAUGCUGCUUAUGUUACCCUGACCUCUCACUUCUAUGAUCAAAGAACCAGCUCGUAAUAUCUACUUCUCUCGCCUGGGAACCAAAGAUCCUGUCAAGGCAAAUGUACUGAUCGUGGCAUUUUGGAGAUGAUCAUCAACAAUUAGCCUGUAAUCUCGAGAUCAUGGAAGCAGAAACAUAGAAGGCAAAGCUCCUUGUAUCCAUGUAAGAAUACCUUUAAAAAAUGCUACCAAGAAAAACUCCCUUAUUCCAUUUGGUUCCCCAUGCGAUUCUUUUGGUCUAUGGCAAGCCUAUCUUUACCCUGGAAACUCGAUCAAUCUUCCUCUACCGAUGUAAAGCAAAAAUAUAAGUUAUUGAAACAACAUAUUUCGUUGUUCCCCAACAUCUUUCUUUUCUUUUAAUCUAGGUGUACUGUUCUACUGGACAGUAUGCUAAAAAUAAAAAUAAAAAAAUUGGGAAGGAUUAAGCCGAUUCUUUUAGCUUCUUAUUUUUUUUUUUGAAAGGGGGUAGGUUAGUUUCUAGGUUAUUGUGUAUUCCGAUUGUUCUUAAAUUGAAGGUGAAUUUUACUUAGGUACGCAGAAAACCGUUAGUUUAGUUUCCGUGUGAUAUCUUGCUUAUGGAAAUGUUGAAUGACCAUAGUUUUACUCUAGACUAUAAGAUUUAGCUCUUAAGUUGCUGAGAUUUACUGGGAGAUAUAUUUAUUUUCUAUAUUGGUUUUUAAACUAAUUUUGAUUUGUCAAGGCCACAUUCUCCACUAAAAUGAGUUAAGCUUCUGAAUUUCUUGUAUCACUAGAACAUCAUAUCACUAAAAUGAGUUGGGAUUUGCCUAUUUUUGUGAUCAAUAAAAUUUUAUUUACCAAUAAUAAUAAUAACAAUAAUAAUAAAAGCUUCUGAAUUUUAUCCAUUAAGAGUCUAGCAUAAAAUAAUAAUAAUAAAAGAUAGCUAAAUAUUUAAAGGGUAGUGAUAGACUUACUACUCUAUUACUACCCAUUUAUUACUUAUAAGUUAUUAGGAUUUUUUUUUAUUUUUUCAUCAUUUUCUUUUAAGUAUUUUUUUAACAUCCUUAGCCAAAAAAUUCAAAAAAAUAUAUAAUUUUACUAAUAAUCACUUUCUUAAUCAUUAAAAUAAAAAAUUAAAAAAAAAUUAAAUACAAAAUGAGUAGUAAAUAAGUAGUAAAAGAAUAGCAACCCUAUCAUUUUCCAUAUUUAAAAGCAAACGUACUGUCAUUUCUAAUAAUAAUAAUUUAAAAAAACUUCAAUUAUAGGGUGGCUAAUCACCCUCCAAAGAGGUGGUCGCCUGCCUUCAAUGGUGGCUAGAGUCUAGAGAUCUGUACCCCAAAUGUGGCGAAAAGAACCUCCUUUUAGAGCCAUUUAAAUGCCCCGCCCAGUGCAAUUUCAGGCGAGCAAAAGCUAGCGUUAUCAUUGUCAGCUUAAAUACCGUUAACAUUAUUAUUCAUCGCUUCUGUACUUGUGGCUCGAGGGAAAUGAAACUUUCCAUAUAAAGGGUACAUGCACACACUUUGUUAUUCCUGAUCUGUAGAAUAAAUAUGUAAUUUACAUGAAAAAACUAUUAGUAAAAAAAUGUGUUCUGCUAUGUAAAA